rnacentral:rRNA from 1 species
UACGUAGGGGGCAAGCGUUGUCCGGAUUUAUUGGGCGUAAAGAGCGUGUAGGCGGUUUGGUAGGUCCGCUGUGAAAACUCGAGGCUCAACCUCGAGACGCCGGUGGAAACCAUCAGGCUAGAGUCCGGAAGAGGAGAGUGGAAUUCCUGGUGUAGCGGUGAAAUGCGCAGAUAUCAGGAGGAACACCGGUAGCGAAGGCGGCACUCUGGGCCGAUACUGACACUGAGGAGCGAAAGCGUGGGGAGCGAACAGG